rnacentral:rRNA from 1 species
UACAGAGGCCCCGAGCGUUAGGCGGAAUCACUGGGCUUAAAGCGUGUGUAGGUGGAUGCCUAAGUACCUUGUGAAAUCCCCACGGCUUAACCGUGGAAUUGCUGGGUAUACUGGGUGUCUUGAGCCACUCAGGGGCUACCGGAACAAAUGGUGGAGCGGUGAAAUGCGUAGAUAUCAUUUGGAACGCCAAUGGUGAAAACAGGUAGCUGGGAGUGUGCUGACGCUGAGACACGAAAGCCAGGGGAGCAAACGGGG